GAUGAACGCUGGCGGCGUGCCUAAUACAUGCAAGUCGAGCGAACGGACGAGAAGCUUGCUUCUCUGAUGUUAGCGGCGGACGGGUGAGUAACACGUGGAUAACCUACCUAUAAGACUGGGAUAACUUCGGGAAACCGGAGCUAAUACCGGAUGAUAUUUUGAACCGCAUGGUUCAAAAGUGAAAGACGGUCUUGCUGUCACUUAUAGAUGGAUCCGCGCUGCAUUAGCCAGUUGGUAAGGUAACGGCUUACCAAGGCAACGAUGCAUAGCCGACCUGAGAGGGUGAUCGGCCACACUGGAACUGAGACACGGUCCAGACUCCUACGGGAGGCAGCAGUAGGGAAUCUUCCGCAAUGGGCGAAAGCCUGACGGAGCAACGCCGCGUGAGUGAUGAAGGUCUUCGGAUCGUAAAACUCUGUUAUUAGGGAAGAACAUAUGUGUAAGUAACUGUGCACAUCUUGACGGUACCUAAUCAGAAAGCCACGGCUAACUACGUG
rnacentral:rRNA from 1 species